rnacentral:rRNA from 1 species
AUUGAACGCUGGCGGCAUGCUAAACACAUGCAAGUCGAACGGUAACAGGCCCUUCGGGUGCUGACGAGUGGCGGACGGGUGAGUAAUGCUUAGGAAUCUGCCUAGUAGUGGGGGAUAACCCGGGGAACUCGGGCUAAUACCGCAUACGCCCUACAGGGGAAAGCGGGGGACUUUCGGGCCUCGCGCUAUUAGAUGAGCCUAAGUCCGAUUAGCUAGUUGGUAGGGUAAUGGCCUACCAAGGCGACGAUCGGUAGCUGGUCUGAGAGGACGACCAGCCACACUGGGACUGAGACACGGCCCAGACUCCUACGGGAGGGCAGCAGUGGGGAAUAUUGGACAAUGGGCGCCAAGCCUGAUCCAGCGAUGCCGCGUGUGUGAAGAAGGCCUGCGGGUUGUAAAGC